CAGUCGCCACGGUAAUACGUAGGUCCCGAGCGUUGUCCGGAUUUAUUGGGCGUAAAGCGAGCGCAGGCGGUUAGAUAAGUCUGAAGUUAAAGGCUGUGGCUUAACCAUAGUACGCUUUGGAAACUGUUUAACUUGAGUGCAAGAGGGGAGAGUGGAAUUCCAUGUGUAGCGGUGAAAUGCGUAGAUAUAUGAAGGAACACCGGUGGCGAAAGCGGCUCUCUGGCUUGUAACUGACGCUGAGGCUCGAAAGCGUGGGGAGCAAACAGGAUUAGAUACCCCCGUAGUCCCUGUCUCUUAUACA
rnacentral:rRNA from 1 species